GGGGAUGUAGCUCAGUUGGUAAGUGCUUGCCUCACAUGCCCAAGGCCCUGGGUUCAAUCCCCAGCACCACCA
rnacentral:tRNA from 1 species